UAACGGCCGCGGUACCCUAACCGUGCGAAGGUAGCAUAAUCACUUGUUCUUUAAAUAAGGACUAGUAUCAACGGCAUCACGAGGGUUACACUGUCUCCUUUCUCCAAUCAGUGAAACUGAUCUCUCCGUGAAGAAGCGAAGAUAUAACUAUUAGACGAGAAGACCCCAUGGAGCUUUAAGCUCAACAACAACUUUCAUGAAAGUAAUCCCUCAUAAUAUACAAACCCUGUUUGUUAGCUUUAGGUUGGGGUGACCGCGGAGUAUAACUUAACCUCCACAACGAAAAGGCAUAAAACCCUUAUCCAAGAGCCACUGCUCUAAGAAUCACCAAAUUGACGUAUAAUGAUCCGAUUUUCGAUCUACGGACCAAGUUACCCUGGGGAUAACAGCGCAAUCCAUUUUUAGAGCUCCUAUCGACAAA
rnacentral:rRNA from 1 species